CUUAGGAGAGAGGUUAGGAGCUUAGGAGAGAUGUUAGGACAUAGGUUAGUUGAGAGCUUAGGAGAGAGCUUAGGAGAGAGGUUAGGAGAGAGGUUAGGAGAGAUGUUAGGAGAGAUGUUAAGAGAGAUGUUAGGAGAGAUGUUAGGAGAGAUGUUAGGACAUAGGUUAGGAGAGAGGUUUGGAGAGAGGGGACAAUUAACCAGCUUGAGGAGUGGGUAAAAUGUGCUGUGUUGUCAGAGGCUGCUUACUAAUAUGUAAUCCUAGUAAAUUGUGUUUCCAUAAUGUAUUAGUUGUGUGGCGUGCAUAUUUAUGCAUCAAGA
ensembl:lncRNA